AGAGGGCGCAAUAUACAGCUAGCUCUCUGCAACUCUCACAUGGUUGCCCACUGAAGCUAAGCAAGGCUGUGCCUGGUCUGUACCUGGAUAGAAGACCACAUGGGAAAGCCAGGUUGCUGCCUCGA
rnacentral:rRNA from 1 species